AGUAGAAAAGCUGAGUUAUUCCUGACACUUCUUUGAUGCGCGCUAUCUGAGGCCUGAGAAAAGCAAAUUAAGUCAGCUUAUACUUAAAGUAUAAGGGAUUUAGAUUUAUAUCUUCACUGAAGUUUAAUGGGGAAUAUGUUUAAAUCCCCUGACUUUUUUUCACCAUGGUCCCGUAAUCUGCUUUGAGAGAGACUGACACAAAAAUAACUUCAAAUACUAGACAAAUCAGAUGUUUUUCUAUUUGUUUUGUAAUGUCAAUAAAAUAAUAUUACUUGCAUUGAAUGCAGGUGCAAAUGAGACUUGAAAAUAUAGGACUUGUUGACAUACAGAAUAUUGAUUUGACUUCUCAAGGAAUUAAUUCCUUUUUGAAAAUUAGACUAAACUGAUUUACCUGUUUUCAUCAUUCAGUUACUAGGCAUCUUGGGGAUAGAUAUUAGAUCUUUUCAUGGUGCACUUCAGAGAUUGUAUAUUGCCAUGGCACAUUGUUAACUUCUAUGAUAUGAGCAAGAUUUGUGAGUCUUUAAUUGAAAAGCUACUUGAACCUCUUUCUUAGCAUCCUGUGGAUGAAGUGUCUGUCUCUAAAUACAUGAGACAGACACUUCAUCCACAUAAUAAUAAUAAUGAAUGUUAUUCAUUAAUUUUUGCAUGCUUUACUGUUCAGUGAUCGUUAUUAUAUUCUUUAAGUGGACUUCUUUUUUCACAAAAUAUGAUUAAUACCAAGUAAACCUAAGGGUAAAAUUAUUAUAGAUGCUUUAUGGUGCCAAGAGACUUGACAGUAAGAACUGUAACUUGAGUUUGGAUGCUGAAGAGCAUAUCAACCCAUAAGAGAAGAUCAAGGAGAUUUCAAUCAUAGUGGAGCCUACCAUACUGUCUUGGAAGUUAUUAACAUCUUGAAUUUCUUAACAUCCACGUGUCUUUCAAGCUUCAAUUUCAUUGUGGAGUAUGUGUGCAUGCGUAAUUAUGUAUUUUGUGUUUAUCAGCCCCAUCAAACUGUCAACAAUUUAAAAAUAAAAAUCUGGAACAUCAACUUAA
ensembl:lncRNA